GCCUCUAUGGCGCAGUGGUAACGCGUCGCACUUGUAACCACUAGUAGCUUCAAGCUACUUCAAGCCAACAUAUGCGAAGAUCUUCAGUUCAAUUCUGAAUGGGUA